AGUGAACGCUGGCGGUAGGCCUAACACAUGCAAGUCGAACGGCAGCACAGUAAGAGCUUGCUCUUACGGGUGGCGAGUGGCGGACGGGUGAGGAAUACAUCGGAAUCUACUUUUUCGUGGGGGAUAACGUAGGGAAACUUACGCUAAUACCGCAUACGACCUACGGGUGAAAGCAGGGGAUCUUCGGACCUUGCGCGAUUGAAUGAGCCGAUGUCGGAUUAGCUAGUUGGCGGGGUAAAGGCCCACCAAGGCGACGAUCCGUAGCUGGUCUGAGAGGAUGAUCAGCAACACUGGAACUGAGACACGGUCCAGACUCCUACGGGAGGCAGCAGUGGGGAAUAUUGGACAAUGGGCGCAAGCCUGAUCCAGCCAUACCGCGUGGGUGAAGAAGGCCUUCGGGUUGUAAAGCCCUUUUGUUGGGAAAGAAAAGCAGCAGGUUAAUACCCCGCUGUUCUGACGGUACCAAAAGAAUAAGCACCGGCUAACUUCGUG
rnacentral:rRNA from 1 species